ACGAAUUUUAAAACAUCCACUCAAUCCUACUGAUCCACUUAAAAACCCUAAUUCCGUUUUCUUUAAUAUAUAUAGAAUGUUUUAGAGCGAAUGGGAUAAGACCUGCAAAUAUUGGUUCAAAGAAAUCACCAAUUUCGUUCUAUCUUGUAGCUGGGAAAAUCGGAUUGAAUUGGAUUUUGAAAGGAAGAUGAGUUGUCAGAAGAACAUGAUCCUCCAAUAGAGGUGCUUAGGAAUCGGGCGGAGGCAGAUCCCAAUUACGCCGAGAAAAUUUGGAAAAUCUUGCGGUGUGCAAUUCAAGACAAGACAAUGCGGGUGACCUUAGUGUCGAAGAGCUUUACAGGCAGGCACGCUUACAACCUGGUCCAGCUCAAAUUUGGAGAAAUGCUAUACUCUGAACUCGUAUCAACCAUGACUUCACAAAUGAAAAAUAGAGUAGCAUCGGUUGACAGCUUUCAAGGUAUGGUAUUUCUAGAAGAACUGAGCUGAAAAUGGAAGGAGCAGAACAAAGCCUUAGAAAGGAUAUGUGUCAUACUAAUCUAUUUCAUUCCAAUUAGACGUAAAACUCCAGUUCUCAACUCGGCCUCGAUUUAUGGCGUGAUAAUAUCAUUCGCUCAGAUAAGAUCCAAACAAAGCUCAAAGACAUGGUCCUUGAAUUUUUUUCAAAUAGAAAGGGAAGGUGAAGUCGACACGGGCUUCAUGGGAAACAUUAUAAACAUGUUAUUGAACUUUUGUGAUCUUGACAUCAAAGAAACAUAUUUAUUGAACUUUCGCGAGCUUGGCAAUGAUGAAGUCUUUGAAAAACCUUUUCUUAGUUACUUGGCUAAGUUUUACAUUGAGGAGAGUCAGAAAUUCCUGGGAUGAUUACGGGGAGUAUUUGAAGAAAGUUGAACAUUUAAAUGAAGAGAUUAAAAAAUUGUCAAGUUACUUAGUCAGUAUAAUAGCAAUUAUAGUAGUGGUAGAAAAGGAAAUGAUCCAAAGUCAAAUGAUCUAAAGCCGCCAAAUGACCUGAUUGGUGGACUCGGAGAAUUGUGGGUUGGUCAACAUGAUUGUGUAUGAUAAGUAUGACGAUUUAAAAAAAAUGUAUGAUUUUUUCAAUAGGGUGCAAAGUGAACAUUUGUUGAUACGGAAGUCAUGACUUCCAACAUUUGGGAAACCGGGAAAAUCGGUGAUUGGCGAUCAACGGUUAAAAAAUCCGUUUGCUUUUUUAGAACGGUUGAUUAAUGAAAGAGCUAAAUACCGUAGUAUCAUCGAUCGUGCAUUCUACUACGAUAAAACAUUACACAAAAUGUUUUGUUCUUGUUUCGCGUAUCUCAGUAAAGGUCUCCCAAAUUCGUCUCGUUGUAAGUUCGACUACAAGUUUCGAAAAUGAAUAUGAGUUGGUGAAAAUAUUUUAUAUGUGUUAGAAAAUGCCGUGGAUUUCUUUUAUUUUUUCGACAAUACAAUAUUAUUUGAAAAAUGUACUAAAUACAACAUUUGUAAAACAAACUUUUAUCAGGAAUAAACAUAUGGGAAGCUGCAGAAAGAAAAGUUUUUCUAAAACUAAAAUACAAAUAUAGUUUAUAUUUUAUUGUACAACUACAAAAGAUAUUGAAAAACUGAGAAACCUUAGAGGAUCAAACAUCAGGGUUUUAUGAAGCCAUGGGCCGUGUUAGGCGAUGAUGUAGCUACUGUUUUCUCUAGUAUAGGAGCAUCAUUACCUCCCCAUGUCUUUAUAAAUCAUAAAACUUUGGCGUUAGAUGGUAUAAGGUUUCCGAGUCCUUUAAUAUCCUUUUCAGUUGUGGAAUAAAAUCCAAACUGCAUUUGUAUUUGAGUCUUAGAAAAACUCUUCUUUCAGCGGUUUCCUAUAUGCUUAUUUCCGAUAAAAGUCUGUUUGUAAAAUUUUGUAUUUAGUACAUUUCAAUCAAGACUGUAUUUGUCGAAAAAAUCAAAGAAAUCCAUGGUAUUUUCUAUUGCAUAUAAAAUAUUUUCACCUGCAACUCUUCCUCCUUUUUGAAACUUGUAGUCAAAGAUACAAUUAGAUGAAUUUGGGAGACUCUGUUUAGUGAAAUUAUGUGAAACAUGAACAUAACAUUUUGUGGACUAUUUUAUCGUAGUAGAAUGCGCCAUUAAUGAUAGUAUGUUAUUUAGCUCUUUUAUCGAUCAACUGUUGUACAAAAACAAAUGGAUUUUUUAACCGUUGGUUGCCAAUCACCAGUUUUUCUUUGGUUUCUGGAAUAUGAGAAGUCAUGACUUCCGGUAUCAACAAAUGUCCAAUUGACAUUUUGUUGAAAAAAUCGUACAUUCAUCUUUAAAAUUGUCAUAUACUUAUCCUCCACAACAUGAAUGAUGUUAACCAAACUACAAUUCUACAAGUCCACCAAUCAGAUCAUUUGGCAACUUUAUGGUGCAGGUAGAGCUAUACUAAGGUUUGUUCCCACACUCCUGGAAUGGAAUCUUUCAUUCCAUCCAAACAAGCACACCUUAAUGAGUUGUUAACUUGUUAUGCUCUUGAUUUCUAGGCAUACGCAGCAAAUGAAGAAAUUACCCAAAUACCCAAUCAGAAACAGAUCAGGCAAAGCUCAUCUUAGAUUUACAAAAAGAUAACUGCGAUCUAAGGGCACAAUUAGCAUGCCAGCAACAAAAACUCUUAAUGUUUCAAGCACAAUCGUUAGCAGGCGCAUCUCCUAUGCCUUCCACAAUAUCAUCCAUCUUAACAUCACAAAGAACACGCUACAUCUGCUUGAUGAACCAGAAUCAUCCCCUGUUUUUCAUUUGUUCAUCAUUACCACUUACCUCCAUCACCCCUACCACCAUACCUACACCAUCAAUUCUGAAAUCAGAAGAAGGGGUUGCAUUCGAUCCAAAGAGAUGAAUUAUCAACCGAGGGGGUGAAUCUCCAAUUUUAUUGAUCGAUUGGAGGGAGAAGAAGAGGGAUAAGAAACAUACGAUCGAAGAGAAGUUCGAGACUUGCUGUGGGGAUAAACCGGAUUGAGUUAUCACAGGGGCUUCAGGAAGAGGUUCCACUGCCCAUUCUAUGUCGGAAAAACUGCCAAGCUUCUUUUUUAGGCUUACUGGGUUUAAAUUUGGGGUUUUCUUGUGUUUCUAUUCAAGUAUUUUAGGGGUACACAUUUCAUUUAUUCAAGUUUACAUGUUUCGAUCGCUAUAACUUUGUGUUUUAUAUCUUUUGGUAAUCAAGUUUUUGUAGUAAGGGAUA